GCUUGAUCUGUGAUGCGUUAUGCUGUACCACUCACUUUUGCAGACUCUGUACUGCAGUGCCUUUGUUCUCUUCCCAUGUGCCUCCUUUAGCUGACUGCAGCAGACAGUUCCUGGAUUUUUGGCUAAAUUGCUGCUGCUACUUUCCCUUGAAACAGAGCCAGCAUCUCUUCUCCUGACAGCACCUCUGUCCGUGCGUCUUACACAGUCUUCUGGAUUGGAAGCCUCACUGUUCCCUGACCUCGGCUAUCCCUCACCUCUGGAAGAGUUUUCGAUGCUUUCCCCCAUGGAGGGUUGCUAUUUAAGAGCUAGGGACAGAGUUGAAGGUUUCGGGCUUUUCCCCGUUCCUCUAAUAGGAGUUUCUGUCGGCAGUUCCUAGGGGACUGAUGCGCAAUAAGGAGCAUGUUCACGAGCUGUCCAGUCCCUUUUCUUCCACACUGUAAAUUCUUAAUGCAGCACGUUUCUUUUUAUUGUAGGAUGAUGUGUCCCUUGUGAUCAGGGAAACCAUGCUGCAGUCAUGCUAGCGUGAGUCUGCUGAGUAGCUGGGGAACUGGACUGGGAAGCCGGAGUUGCCACUGUCCUGCUGGGUGACUUUGGGCAAGCCAUUGCCCCCUCUGUGCCUAGAUGGGAUAAUGACACUUACUGCCUUUCUUAAAGUGCUUUCAGCUCUCCGGAUUGAAAACCUUUUCAGAGUAGUAUCCUAGUAGCAGAUGGGCCAGGGAGACAGGGAAGCAGAGGAAGCGAAUGUUAUGGGCAUUUGGAGGUGAACAUCAGCAUCCGUUCUCCCCCUCUCCUGUGCAAACCCUUCCGCCGAGUCAUCCGCCCAAGGGGUCCCCUGGUGCCUUUGAAGAAUCCCUGGCAGUCCCCCCCUUUCUGCCUGCCUUUCAGCCGCGGACGCUAGGAGAAGAUGGUGCAUACAGUGGGAAAGAGGACAAUUGAAUUUGCUCUUGCAGAGGGGCGGGAGUUAGUGAGCUUUACGAAGGAUGGAAGACUUUAACGUGGCGACGAAGAUACCCAGUAGCAGGCUGAAGAGUACAGCAAGGAGACUUGUUGAAAGCCCAGCUCACAGACUCGGCCUGGAGACAGAGGAGCAGGGAUGGGUUGUGGUCCUCUAAACCAGAAGUGAAACGGGGAGAGUGAAACUCUGUCAGGUUAAGCGUGGGAGUUCAUUAGGGCUAAGUGAGCCUCUUUUAAGAGCAGAAAUCCUGUGUACAAAGCCAGGCCCGGAUCUGGCUGGGGGAGCCUCACUGAAGUUGCUGAAGCACGGAGCAGCUUGCAGGAUUGGAGGCCCAGGUUGGGACAAAUGCUCUGCUGGUGAAGUGCCCACUGCAAAUGAUAAAGGCAGAGGGAGGCUAUUGAAAAGAAAUGGUAUUCUCCUCCCCUUCCUGUCCAGAACUAUUGCUGCCAUUCAUUGUUAAUCAGCUGCCCUGUUCCAUCCCAGAGGUGGCUGCCUUUCAGUGUUGUGAUUCCUGUGUACAGUUUGUAAAGCCCUUUGGGAUGAACACUUAUAAAUAUGCCCUUCAGUGGCAAUUCCUCUGUGGCUCACCUUCACAAACCCAGAAAGAACCAGAACGAGAUUAUCAUGUGCUGGGACUUCUUUUGGGGCCAGAGACUUGAUCCUCCACCAGCCUGAUCUCCAGCUAAAGGUGAGACUACACCCUGCAUCUUAGGGUAUGUCUACACUACCUGCCGGAUCGGUGGGCAGCGAUCGAUCCAGCGGGGGGUCGAUUUAUCGCGUCUAGUCUGGACGCGAUAAAUUGACCUCUGAGCA